AGCCAGACAGAAUUCUCAUUCAUAGUUAUAUCCCGUACAAUUGUCGUUUCUAGAGCCCGCUGAUUUUGGAUUAACGAUUGGGUGAAACCAUUUCGACUUGGACGUUGCUGCCGUUGCGAGGAACAGGUGUAUCGAACUUGGCAUCUAUUCGACACGUGUCCAGUUUCAAAAAAUCCCGUUGAUUGGAUUAUUGAUCCCGUUGAAGCCAUUUCGACAGUCCCGUUGCGGAGAACAGGUGUAUCGAACCUGGCAUCUAUAAUUUCGACGUGAAUCCCGGAACGUGCAAGUCACGUGCAAUACUUACCCGGAUAAUCCGUUUUCCGUAUAUGACGAAUGCCGACUCUCGUCAUUUCGACAGUCCCGCUGAACGUCGUCUGUUCGAAGACGUUGCUGGCGUUUCGGGGAAGAGGUGCAUCAAACACGGCAGCUCCGUAUCUAACGAAGUCACGACGCGUACCGACUGUCGUCAUUUCGACGGUCCCGCUGAACGUCGUCUCUUCGAAGACGUUGCUGGCGUUUCGGGGAACAGGUGCAUCAAACACGGCAGCUCUUCGACGGUCGCAGACUGGCAAACGACUGUGUGCGUAUUUUUUCGAGACCCGGAUAUCAGCAAGAAUAUGUUCCUUUUCCCGACGUCGCUGGCAAUAGACGACACGCUCGGCGCGUACCGUCCGACGUCGGGAACGGGCAGUCUAAAUUCGGUGGAGACACGAUGCGCCGUUCCGGAGAUAUUCGCGCGCGAGCGGAAGCGAGCGCGAUCGGCGGGAAACGGCGUCGUCGUGGGAGAAGUCAGGAAGACGACCGCGGUCUGACUUUCGACCUGAAUGAAUUCGGCGUGCGCGAGCGAAAUUCGGCCGAGAUCGGACUCGCCGUCUUCGAGAGACGCUCGUACGUACGGGCACACAGACAGACAGACAGACACACAGACACCUCUCCUUUAUAUAUAGAGAUACUAGUAUACAUGGCCCGUCCUUCGUACGGGCAAGAUACUGUAUUGUAAAGAUAGGUCUGUGGACACGUCACGUGCAAUCUUUGUUGCGAGGUCCCGGAUAUGCUGAAUGAAUUCGAAUCUUGCUCUUCGCGCUUGUUUCGAUAGAAAUCGACACACUCCCCGUGUAGCGAUUGCUGCAGAAAACGCGUAGGUUGGAUUCGGUGCAAAUGCAAUCAGAAUUUGGAGAGAAACGAAAGCGCUAGAAGAGUAAGUUUCGUCGGCAAGAGAUAUUCGAUCGCUCGAAGCUUUGCGAAGGACGACAAUGCAUACGGUCUACACAGGACUGGCGUGGGCGUGUGUUCGAAUGAACCGGAAUGUGUAGCGUUUGCGUCGUCGAGAAAUUUUACGCGGGGGUCGACCCCUCGAGAGGGGACCCGGUGCAUUAUUUUUUUAUUUUUUACGCAAACCUUCCUCUGUGCGUGCCGAGUGUGCGUACCGAUUUCGGUUGCGAACGGACAAAAGACGUGGCCUCCAAACGCGAACAUACACACACACACACACACACACACACACACACACACACACACACAGACAAUUUGAGCUUUAUAUAUUAGAUACAAAACUACAGGUGAAUUGGUUGCAGAAACUGUCUUGUUAUGACAUCAUCAUGAAUGGUUAGAUUCGUUUGUUGAAGUCUACUUGGGAUGUUUCUAUGAUUGAAGUUUGAGUCAGAGUUUUGACUUCAUAGUUUUCAAAUUAUUUUUAGGAAGUAGUCAUGAUAGCAGUAAAUGUACGAUAUUUACUAUUAGAUAACAUUAGUUAAUAUGUACUUGGUAAGUAGAAGUGUUCCUUAGUGUACAUACCUUGAUGUAUAAAUAGAAGUCUUAAUAUUAAUACAAAAUGGAUAAAGAAAAUGAGGACAUGAUAUAAUGACUGGAUUGAUGAAUGAUAAGAAUCCAUAUUGGCAAUGCUUCUGUCAGCUUUACUGGCUGCCACCCGGCUAUUGUGUUGAGAUAAUCUUUUUUGAAUAGUAAUGGUUUUGAUAGUAUAAUUUAUCUAUUGAGUUUGACUCUUGUAAGCAAUUGACAUUAUUUUAUCAUUCAAAAUAGACACUACAGUAUGAUGUUCAUCGUUACUGUUAUCAGUAUGACUGUACAAGUAAUAUAAUAUAAUAUACAAUUAUUAGUCCUUCGAGUCUUCAUUAUUAUGCCAGCAUCAUUAUUUCAAUCUAUUGUAGGUACUGAGAAAUAGGGGUAAUUCGUCCGCAAAAGUUGUUGCUGAGAAGCAAAUUGCAUAAAUGUGAAAUUUCUUUAGCAUGGUCCAAAGAACAGGCAAUGACUGCACUUCCUUGUGGAAAUUUCUGCAAUGCCGAAGCCCAUAGUGGCAGAAUUCCAUGUUCCAGCCACCUCAAGCUCAUGAACAGAGCUAGCUUGAAUACCUUGAGCCAUCAAUCUUUCUUCCUAUAAAACCACCUGAAAGCAAGGACUAAAGAACGCAACAACCGAACAAAAUAGGCGCCAAAUAUUGACAGAUCACCAGCAAACAAUGCAAAGGGAAGGAGAAAAAAGAUAUUCCAGACUUGUGUACCCGCCAUUCUGAAUAACGCACGUUACCAAAUAUUAAUAUAAACAAUACUGCAUUCUAAAAAUAGUAUAACUUGCAUGCAAUUCACAUCCUAAAUGAAGCAUUGUAGGCAUUCUUGACUUAUUGUAAAGUAUAUGUACAGUAUAUUUCUUAGAACAUUCAUGAAUAUCGUUGAUAACAAGUUGCUGCUGACACAUUCAACAAAGGCUUGUAAAAUUGAAGAGUAUAGACUGAACAUAUCCAUAUCACACAGAAUAAACCAUCUCAAGCAGUAAAAUAGUCUACAAGCAUAAGAGAAAACAUGCAGUGCUUGAAUAGAAAUCCAGUCUGUUU